rnacentral:rRNA from 1 species
AAUAUUGGACAAUGGGGGCAACCCUGAUCCAGCCAUGCCGCGUGUGUGAAGAAGGUCUUCGGUUUGUAAAGCACUUUUUGUUGGAAGGAAGGGCUUUAGGUUAAUACCCUGAAGUUUUGUCGUUACCAACAGAAUAAGCACCGGCUAACUCUGUGUCAGCAGCCGCGGUAAUACAGAGGCUCAAAGCGUUAACCGGAAUUACUGGGCGUAAAGCGCGCGUAGGUGGUUCAGUAAGAUGGGUGUGAAAUCCCCGGGCUUAACCUGGGAACUGCUUUCAUAACUGCUGAGCUAGAGUACGGUAGAGGGUAGUGGAAUUUCCUGUGUAGCGGUGAAAUGCGUAGAUAUAGGAAGGAACACCAGUGGCGAAGGCGACUACCUGGACUGAUACUGACACUGAGGUGCGAAAGCGUGGGGAGCAAACAGG